rnacentral:rRNA from 1 species
AGAGUUUGAUCCUGGCUCAGAUUGAACGCUGGCGGCAUGCCUUACACAUGCAAGUCGAACGGUAACGCGGGGGCAACCCUGGCGACGAGUGGCGAACGGGUGAGUAGCGCAUCGGAACGUGCCCAGUAGUGGGGGAUAGCUCGGCGAAAGCCGGAUUAAUACCGCAUACGACCUACGGGUGAAAGCGGGGGACCGCAAGGCCUCGCGCUAUUGGAGCGGCCGAUGCCCGAUUAGCUAGUUGGUGAGGUAAAGGCUCACCAAGGCAACGAUCGGUAGCUGGUCUGAGAGGACGACCAGCCACACUGGGACUGAGACACGGCCCAGACUCCUACGGGAGGCAGCAGUGGGGAAUUUUGGACAAUGGGGGAAACCCUGAUCCAGCCAUGCCGCGUGCGGGAAGAAGGCCUUCGGGUUGUAAACCGCUUUUGGCAGGAACGAAACGGCGCCAACUAAUACUUGGCGUUAAUGACGGUACCUGCAGAAUAAGCACCGGCUAACUAC